GGGCAACGUAUAUGUCACCAUCCAUCUUCAAGCCAAUACUAUAGCUAUAUGAUAGUCGUUUUUUUACUAAAGCUAUGUUCUACUACGAAAUCCAUGUUUAAUAAUACAUUUUUUGGCGUAAAAAGAAAGAAUGACGCCCACACACAUUGCUGGAUAUAGGCCUCCCCCAAGCCUCGCCACAAAGAUCGGUCCUGCGCUGCUUGCUUCCAGCGGAUCCACGUGAGCCUCAAUAGGUCGUUCGUCGUUACGGAAUUUGUCAAUUCACAUGUAAUUGUAUCUAAUCAAUGAAUACAAAAAAAUUUCAAAAUAGAUAAAAAUUACGGAUCCGGUUUGCUUAAAAUUCAAACCCUUACCGCGUUCUGACUGAGCCUUUACACUAUUCGCUUUGAAAGGAUAGCUUCGCUUACCAAAAUACAAUAAAAUAAUAUGUUAAUAAAUGCUGAAAA